CUUCGCUGCUUGAGGUGGCGAAGAGAAGCAUUGGGAAACAUAGACUUAGCGCUCCAGUGUUAGUCUCGUUUCCCGCUCCAAA
rnacentral:sRNA from 1 species